rnacentral:lncRNA from 1 species
GCUCCGGAAGGGUAAGCAGAUCCUGCUCCACAUGUGGCACCGUCAUGUUGCUCAUGCUACAACAAAUCCGGCAAACAGACCAACUCGGAAGACAAAAUCUGCUUAAAAAUGAAAAUUCUACUACUUACAAUAACAUACAGAUUAUCCUGUUGUACUAACUCUAAAAAAAAGCUAAACAAUGACCACUGCCCUUUCUUCGAUCUUGAUAUCUAUAUCAUUAACGGAAAGUUUUAUACAACAAUUUAUGAUAAAGAGAUGAUUUUUCAUUUCCUAUCGUUAAUUAUCCAUUUUAAAUGGUGACGUUCCCUUGUCACCAUCAUGACCAUCUUACGGUGUUUAUAUAUCUCAACUUGUACGAUUCGCUCG